rnacentral:lncRNA from 1 species
AAAAGUGAUCCAAAUAGAUGCACAUAGGAAGUUAUCAAAUAACAAAAAUAAUCAGGAAAAAAUAAUCCACCAGUUGCUUAUUCUUUCUGACUCUCUUGCUUUGAGGCCAUAUUUAUCAGCUAUUCAAACAUCAGAAAUAUACGACAACACCCCCACACUUUCCUUAUGAACCCUAGUAUGUUAGAAACCCUGCCUUUACAAAGCAUGUUGUGCAGUUUCUUGUGAGUUUUGUGUAUAUUUUAAAGAUUUAUUUUGUGUGUGUGUGUACAUGUGUGCAUGUGUGCUUGUGUGCAUAUGCAUUGUGUCCUGGGAAGCAAGAGGACUUCAGACCCCCUAGAACUAGCGGUGUACAUGGUUGUGAGCCAUAGUGUGGGUACUGGGAAAUGAACAUGGGCUUUCUGGAAGAUCAGCAAGCACUCAACCAUUGAGCCAUCUCUCCAGCUCAGGGUCUUUGGUAUUCUUAACAUCUUGGCUCCAAGGGUCAUAGUUUUCUUCAGGUUUCUUAACUUUAACAAGUCAAUUAAGUUGACUUUUUUUGUUGUUUUUGGUUUUUUUUUUGUUUUGUUUUGUUUUUCGAGACAGAGUUUCUCUGUGUAGUUCUGGCUGUCCUGGAACUCGCUCUGUAGACCAGGCUGGCCUUGAACUCAGAAAUCCGCCUGCCUCUGCCUCCUGAGUGCUGGGAUUAAAGGCGUGCGCCACCACGCCUGGCUAAUAAAGUUGACUUUUAUUGUACAAAUUAUAUACAGUAAGAACUAUCCCUUUUGUGUGGUUUAUGAACUUUGAAGAUGAAGGGCCACAGGACCAAAUCAUAUUUUAAGCAAAAGAAGCACAUCUGGGCCAAACAGCCAGGUGUUCAACUACCUGGACCAGAAUCCUAGUUUAACUAGUUACUACCUGUGUGGCCUUGAGCAAAGCUGCUUUCUGCCUCAGUUUCCCCAUAGUUUGAUAGUGAUCCUGGGUAUCCAUCUGUAGGAACUGCUGGAUAAACAAUGCUCUGACCACGGCAUUGAAGUUCAAGGACAACAGCUGUUCCUGGUUCACUAGCUGGGUUUGCCAUUAUUAUUCUAAUGGAAGUGAAAUGCAAGGACAGAACCAGAAGGGGAAAAGCGGAAAAGCGGAGUGAACAGAAUAGGGUAGGUUCACGGUGCAGGGGGAGGGCCUGCCAGUGUGAGUCGAUGGUGUACUUGGAGGACCCUGAUAGCUACAGCCUCACACCACAAAUCAAAAGUAUCUCUAUGAUUUUUUUUUUCUGUAAAGACUUUAGAAGAGAUACUCUAUUAUAAAAUCAAGAGUUUCUUAUAUAAUGGAUUAGAAUGCAACAUUUUACAUUAUAUUUUGUUUUACAUAUAUAUAUAUAUAUAUAUAUGCUGACUUCUGUUAUUCUUAGUUUGGCUGCUGCUGUUACAGCUUCCAUUCCCUUCCUCUGUGUGUCUAGCUAAACAGCUGUACCCGACUGGGACAUCUUCCCGUGUCGUGCUCCUCACCUGCCCUCACCACUGUGGCCAUUUGCUGGCUGUUCUUCUUCUACCCCCUCCGCCAUAGUUCAAAUAGCUGGAGUUAGGGUGUAUAGCCACCUUACCCAAAAAAUCAAUAAUGAUGGCUUUCCAGAAGAAAUGCAGGUAAGGUUUUCUGAAAUGGCGAAGUGGAUGCUUGUUAGCCAGAACCCUGGUCCUCCAUUCACUGCUAAGUAUUUUGAGGAAUACGUACAGGAAGGACCCAGAAUACUACAACUACACAACUAUAAACUCAGGAGAGGGAAAUCUCAAUGUGACAGGCAAGGUCUAGAAAGUGCCUAGGGUACUCACAGUCUACAGUAAGUUCAACUAGGAGCAUCUUCUUUUGGUUUUGGGUUUGUUUGUUUGUUUUUUGUUUUAGAUUUACAUAUUAUGUAUGAAGUGGACUGCCUGUAUGUAUGCCUGCAAGGUAGAUGGCACAAGAUCCCAUUACAGAUAGUUGUGAGCCACCAUGUGGUUGCUGGGAAUUGAACUCAGGACCUCUGGAAAAGCAGCCAUCGCUCUUAACCUCUGAGCUAUCUCUCCAGCCCGUGGGUAAACAUCUUCUAUGAUGUGUGUCUUAGUCGAUGCUCAAUUGCUGUGAAGAGACACCAGGACCACAGCAACUCUUAUAAAGGAGAGCAUUUAAUUGGGGCCGGCUUACAGUUUCAGAAGUUUAGGCCGUUAUCCUCACAGCAGGGAGCACAGUGGCACAGAGGCAGGCUGAGAGUUCGUUGUCUUGCUUGAGCAUUUGAAACCCCAAAGCCCAUCCACUGUGAAACAUUUCCUCCAACAAGGCCACACCUCCUGAUCCCUGUCAAGUAAUGCCUAACACCAAGCAUUCAAAUAUGAUGCUGUGGGGACCAUUUCUAUUAAAACCACCAGUGUGCUAUAAAGAUAAUAUCGGUCCUGAUGAUUUUUGUCCUGUGCUAGUUGAUGGACUUUAAAACCCAGUCUUACUCAGGUCUAUCACACAUAGAUAAGGAUAGCACUCACAUGUAGUCCCAGACCUAGGAGGCAGAGGAAUAAGGUUCAGGAUUAAGGCCGCACAGUAAUACCCUAUCUACAUAACCAUAUGCAUAAGAGAUAAAACACACACACACACCUAGAAAAAUAUCUGGUUUAGGUAGGUUUAGGUAAUGGAAAAGACAGCCAAAGCUCUAGUCAUGCUCCAGACAGGUUUAGAGGUCACUCUGAACACCAAGGUAGACCUAAACUGACAGAGAUCCUCCUGCCCAGUGUUAACCUCAAGUGCUGGCAUUAAAGGCAUGCACCACUAUAUCCUGCUUACUGUACUUUGUAAUGUUUGCUUGACACAGUCUGUUACAUAUAUAAUAUCCACCCCAGCCCAUAUCUCUUCAUGCCUGGUUCUUUCCAGAUGUUUGGAGCUUAAGGAAGACCCUUUAGCAGACAAUGGACAGCAGCAGUCUGGAAGAAGGCAGUACUAAGUACUAGUUUUCUGAUGUCAGACACAUCUGAGACGUGUGUGUUUUCUGUGAGUUCAUGGGAAGAGUCAAUUCCGGUGACAAAUUUUAAGGCCUUUUUUGUUAGUGAGGGUACUGUGAUUUUUUUCUAAAACGCAUUAUAAAAUUAAUAUGUAUCGUCUUCUUAGAAUUGAUUAGUUUCACAUGUCUUAGCCACACCAACCAAAGCAACACAAUGAACAACAACAACAAAAAGGCUCUCAGCAAAUGGUGUCAGGGUAUCUGGGAGAGGGUGGGCGUGGCUCAAUCCCCACUUGCAUCAUACUCGAAAUUCAUCUGUUAUAGAGUCUAGAAUUAAACGCAGACGCUUGGGGCCAAGGGAAAGGCCCAGUUGGUAAGAGUGUUUGGUAGACAUGCUGCCUAUUCCUGGUGAGCCACUGAGAGAAAAGACCAUUUUUCUGUCUCUCACAGGGCACACUUAGGUCCAGCAUCCACUGUUGGUUUGCUACUCUGACCAAAGGCAGAAUAUUUACAGAAGCAUGUAGCACCUUCCAGCCAUGAGAAAGCAGGACUAAAAAUAGCACUUCCAGUUGAUGUUCCUUCUGUAGUUCUUCAGAAGAUCGGAGGCAAAACAUGGGAAAAUGUUAGGCUUGGUGGUGGUAGUUUUUCAAGGCUGUACUAUUACUGCAUCUUGCAUAUUCAGAUAUCGACUGAUUCGUCUUAAGAGCCAUAAACAUAAGUGGUUCAUUUUACAAAUGGGCACAUUUAUUUGCAAAUUAUUAGCCAAGAUCUAUCCACGUGCAGACAUGCUUGUUUCAGUCUGAAUAUACAAUAAAAUUAUUUUAAAUAACUUUAAUCACUUCAAAAACAGCAAAUUCCAAGACAAUUAGGUUAACUUUAAGAACUCAUAUUUAUUGAGUUAACAGAUGGUAAAUUAAAAAACAAUGAAGCUAAUUUUUAAAAUCAUUCACUGAAUAAAAAAAAAAAAAACACCCAGACUUAUUUGACAAACUGUUUUUAAGCUGGUUUUUCAUCCUAGUAAGCGUAUUUUAAGAUUCCAAUUUGGGGAACUUCUGGAAAGAUACCAAAUGAGUUGCUGUAUAUGAACACUCUUCCAUUGAAUUACUUUUUUAAAAGCUUUAGAAUCAUCUGAAAAAUAAUUUUAUGUAUCAGCAAUAAAAAUAUAAGAAAUAAGCAUUUCUAGAUAUUGGGCAGAUGCUGCAUCUGUUUCUUCAGUUCCCGUUCGCUCUCCACUGUGUUCCUGAGCUCCUUUACCUGCCUUGGGGAUUCCUGGUGCCUGCAGAAGGAAGCCACUGCUGACCAAAACUGCAUUUCUCUACCUUUCUGCUCAGACAGAAAGCUCACACGUGUGAGGUCUUCUGGAUGAGGUUUGCUCUAGAAACCUUCAUCUCUGCAUCCUGGGAGUGGGUAGCUCUGGGUAGCAAAAGCAGCUCCAUGUGCAGAAAGCAGAUCUGUGCAAGGAGAAGUAAGCCCUCAUCUCUCUGAAAAUGGGCCCUUGUUGAUGGCUGACCCUGUGCCAAGCUCUCCAUACCCAAGUCCUGCUGGGAGAAAGCUGGUCUCCCAGGAGUGCUGACACACAGGCUUACAAGAGGGACAAGCCACAGUCAGAGACAGCAAGACAAGCUAACACAACAGAUGACCAGAUGGUAAGAGGCAAGGGCAAGAACAUAAGCAACAGACACCAAGGCUACUUGGCAUCAUCAGAACCCAGUUCUCCCACCAUAGCAAGCCCUGUAUACCCCAACACAUAGGAAAAUCAAGACUCUAAAGUAAAAAUCACAUCUCCUGAUGAUGAGAGAGGACUUUAAGAAGGACAUAAAUAACUCCCUUAAAAGAAAUACAGGAGAACACAGGUAAACAGGUAGAAGCCCUUAAAGAAGAAACACAAGCCGGGAGUGGAGGCACACACCUUUAAUCCCAUUACUCGGGAGGCAAGGGCAGGCAGAUUUCUGAGUUCGAGGCCUGCCUGGUCUACAAAGUGAGUUCCAGGACAGCCAGGGCUACACAGAGAAACCCUGUCUCGAAAAACCAAAAAAAAAAAAAAAAAAAAAAAAAAAAAAAAAAAGAAGAAGAAGAAGAAGAAGAAGAAGAAGAAGAAGAAGAAGAAGAAACACAAAAACCCCUGAAAGAAGGCAACCUAGAGAUAGAAAACCUAGAAAAGAGAUCAGGAGUCACAGACAGAAGCAUCACCAACAGAAUACAAGGAAUAGAAGAGAGAAUUUCAAGGGCAGAAGACACCAUAGAAAACAUUGACACAAACAGUCAAAGAAACUGCAAAAUGCAAAAAGCUCCUAACCCAAAACAUCCAGGAAAUCCAGAACACAGUGAAAACCUAAGGAUUUUAUGUUGGGAGCCGCGCCCACAUUCGCCGUUACAAGAUGGCGCUGACAGCUGUGUUCUAAGUGGUAAACAAAUAAUCUGCGCAUGUGCCAAGGGUAUCUUAUGACUACUUGUGCUCUGCCUUCCCCGUGACGUCAACUCGGCCGAUGGGCUGCAGCCAAUCAAGGAGUGACACGUCCGAGGCGAAGGAGAAUUCUCCUUAAAAAGGGACGGGGUUUCGUUUUCUCUCUCUCUUGCUUCUUGCUCUCUUGCUUCCUGCACUCCUGCUCCUGAAGAUGUAAGAAAUAAAGCUUUGCCGCAGAAGAUUCUGGUCUGU